GAUGAAGACGUAGCGAAAUGCGAUAAGUAAUGUGAAUUGCAGAAUUCAGUGAAUCAUCGAAUCUUUGAACGCACAUUGCGCCCGCCAGUAUUCUGGCGGGCAUGCCUGUCCGAGCGUCAUUUCAACCCUCGAACCCCUCCGGGGGGUCGGCGUUGGGGAUCGGGAACCCCUAAGACGGGAUCCCGGCCCCGAAAUACAGUGGCGGUCUCGCCGCAGCCUCUCCUGCGCAGUAGUUUGCACAACUCGCACCGGGAGCGCGGCGCGUCCACGUCCGUAAAACACCCAACUUCUGAAAUGUUGACCUCGGAUCAGGUAGGAAUACCCGCUGAACUUAAGCAUAUCAAUAAGCGGAGGA
rnacentral:misc_RNA from 1 species